AUGUUGCAUCCUGUUAGCCAGGUUCCUAGUUCAGUUUAGCUGGUGUGCAGGUCAAGGACUCUUAAGGAUUGAAUUGCAUCCCUUCAAAAGAUAUUGAAGUCCUAACCCCCAGAAUCUGUGACUGUGACCUUAUUUGGAAAUGGCUCUUUGCAGAUACAAUCAAGUUAAGAUGAGGUCAUAUUAGAUUAAAGUGGUCUGCUAUUCAAUAACUGACCUCUUUAAUGAAAAGGGAAAUUUGAACUGAGAAACAUGGAGGGAAAUGCUAUGUGAAGAUGGAGGCAGAGAUUGGAGCAAUUUGGAGCAAUGUGUAUGUCUGCAAGCCAAGGAACACCAAGUAUUGCCAGCCAUCACCAGAGCUGGAGGAGGGGCCUGGAACAGAUUCCCACUAGAGCCCCCAAAAGGAUCCAACCCUGCUGACACUUUGACUUUAGACUUGGGGCCUUCAGAACUGUGAGAGAAUAAAUUUCUGUUGUUUUGAGCCACUCAGAGUGUGGUAUUUUGCUACAGAAGCCCUUGGAUCCUAAUAAAGACAUUAAUAGCU
rnacentral:lncRNA from 1 species